rnacentral:rRNA from 1 species
GACGAACGCUGGCGGCGUGCUUAACACAUGCAAGUCGAGCGGAAAGGCCCUUCGGGGUACUCGAGCGGCGAACGGGUGAGUAACACGUGAGUAACCUGCCCCAGACUUUGGGAUAACCCUCGGAAACGGGGGCUAAUACCGGAUACGACACAGCUUCGCAUGGGGUCUGUGUGGAAAGGUUUUCGGUGUGGGAUGGGCUCGCGGCCUAUCAGCUUGUUGGUGGGGUGUCGGGCUACCAAGGCGACGACGGGUAGCCGGCCUGAGAGGGGGACCGGCCACACUGGGACUGAGACACGGCCCAGACUGCUACGGGAGGCAGCAGAGGGGAAUAUUGCACAAUGGGCGGAAGCCUGAUGAAGCGACGCCGCGUGAGGGAUGACGGUCUUCGGGUUGUAAACCUCAUUCAGCAGGGACGAAGCGUAAGUGACGGUACCUGCAGAAGAAGCGCCGGCCAACUACGUG